GAUGAAGAACGUAGCGAAAUGCGAUAAGUAAUGUGAAUUGCAGAAUUCAGUGAAUCAUCGAAUCUUUGAACGCACAUUGCGCCCGCCAGUAUUCUGGCGGGCAUGCCUGUCUGAGCGUCAUUUCAACCCUCAUGCCCCUAGGGCGUGGUGUUGGGGAUCGGCCAAAGCCCGUGAGGGACGGCCGGCCCCUAAAUCUAGUGGCGGACCCGUCGUGGCCUCCUCUGCGAAGUAGUGAUAUUCCGCAUCGGAGAGCGACGAGCCCCUGCCGUUAAACCCCCAACUUUCCAAGGUUGACCUCAGAUCAGGUAGGAAUACCCGCUGAACUUAAGCAUAUCUAAGCGGAGGA
rnacentral:misc_RNA from 1 species